GAUGAACGCUGGCGGCGUGCCUAAUACAUGCAAGUCGAGCGAACAGACGAGAAGCUUGCUCCUCUGACGUUAGCGGCGGACGGGUGAGUAACACGUGGAUAACCUACCUAUAAGACUGGGAUAACUUCGGGAAACCGGAGCUAAUACCGGAUAAUAUAUUGAACCGCAUGGUUCAAUAGUGAAAGACGGUUUUGCUGUCACUUAUAGAUGGAUCCGCGCCGCAUUAGCUAGUUGGUAAGGUAACGGCUUACCAAGGCGACGAUGCGUAGCCGACCUGAGAGGGUGAUCGGCCACACUGGAACUGAGACACGGUCCAGACUCCUACGGGAGGCAGCAGUAGGGAAUCUUCCGCAAUGGGCGAAAGCUUGACGGAGCAACGCCGCGUGAGUGAUGAAGGUCUUCGGAUCGUAAAACUCUGUUAUUAGGGAAGAACAAAUGUGUAAGUAACUAUGCACGUCUUGACGGUACCUAAUCAGAAAGCCACGGCUAACUACGUG
rnacentral:rRNA from 1 species